GACGAACGCUGGCGGCGUGCUUAACACAUGCAAGUCGAACGGUAAGGCCCUUCGGGGUACACGAGUGGCGAACGGGUGAGUAACACGUGGGUGAUCUGCCCUGCACUUCGGGAUAAGCCUGGGAAACUGGGUCUAAUACCGGAUAGGACCUCGCACUUCACGGUGUGUGGUGGAAAGCUUUUGCGGUGUGGGAUGGGCCCGCGGCCUAUCAGCUUGUUGGUGGGGUAAUGGCUUACCAAGGCGACGACGGGUAGCCGGCCUGAGAGGGUGACCGGGCACACUGGGACUGAGAUACGGACCAGACUCCUACGGGAGGCAGCAGUGGGGAAUAUUGCACAAUGGGCGCAAGCCUGAGGCAGCGACGCCGCGUGAGGGAUGACGGCCUGCGGGUUGUAAACCUCUUUCAGUAGGGACGAAGCGCAAGUGACGGUACCUACAGAAGAAGGACCGGCCAACUACGUGCCAGCCGCCGCAGUAA
rnacentral:rRNA from 1 species